AGUCGAGGGGUAGAGUUCUUCGGACUUUGAGACCGGCGCACGGGUGCGUAACGCGUAUGCAAUCUGCCUUUCACAGAGGGAUAGCCCAGAGAAAUUUGGAUUAAUACCUCAUAGUAUAAUGGGUUGGCAUCACCCCAUUAUUAAAGUCACAACGGUGAAAGAUGAGCAUGCGUCCCAUUAGCUGGUUGGUAAGGUAACGGCUUACCAAGGCUACGAUGGGUAGGGGUCCUGAGAGGGAGAUCCCCCACACUGGUACUGAGACACGGACCAGACUCCUACGGGAGGCAGCAGUGAGGAAUAUUGGACAAUGGGCGCAAGCCUGAUCCAGCCAUGCCGCGUGCAGGAUGACGGUCCUAUGGAUUGUAAACUGCUUUUGUACGAGAAGAAACACUCCUACGUGUAGGAGCUUGACGGUAUCGUAAGAAUAAGGAUCGGCUAACUCCGUGCCAGCAGCCGCGGUAAUACGGAGGAUCCAAGCGUUAUCCGGAAUCAUUGGGUUUAAAGGGUCCGUAGGCGGUUUAGUAAGUCAGUGGUGAAAGCCCAUCGCUCAACGGUGGAACGGCCAUUGAUACUGCUGAACUUGAAUUAUUAGGAAGUAACUAGAAUAUGUAGUGUAGCGGUGAAAUGCUUAGAGAUUACAUGGAAUACCAAUUGCGAAGGCAGGUUACUACUAAUGGAUUGACGCUGAUGGA
rnacentral:rRNA from 1 species